UGCUGUUUUGCUUCACAAUCAUCAAGCAUGAGUGCCUAAACAUGUCAAAUUUGGAUCUGAAGAUUAGUGUUAUCUUAUUUACUUAGAAUCAUUAGUUGUGUUUGUUGAAGAACAAUUUGAUGGAUAAAAUACACCAUUUUCCGUUAUUAUAGGCAGUUGUUGAUCCUUUAUGAAACCUACCUAUCUGAGAAAUAUAUGCAAUAUUAUUUAUUCAGUAAUCCUAUACUGUCCCCUAUUUGCAUUCUGAGACACUUCGCAUUUUCUCUUGAAAUUCUAUUUAACAAAAUGGAUUUCUUAAGUCUGGCUGCCAGUGUAGUUUACAAUAUUGCCAUUCUUCUUUUCUCAGAUGAAAAUGAUGAUACGUGAAACAUUUACGCAAAUGUCUUAAGAGAUGGGUCUAUCUGGUCCAAGGUGAUAAAACUCUGGAAGACCUGCUCAUGUCGUGCAAUCAGAUUGAUAAAUUUUUGUAGAGUAGUGAACUAAAUGAACUUCUGUGGUAAUUCAUUUUAUGCCACCUACAAUCAUGGUUCUAUUGGCCCUUUCCAAGUUCUGAGAUGUCUUAAUCUUUCUUGAUAUAAACAUGCAAGGAUGCAUUGCAAAGUUAUGGCUGUGUUUGUUAACAACAGUUCUGAAUGCCCUUUGUAUGAUUGAUGGGAAACGAGUUUAAUAAUGUGGUAUUGCCUGGUAUGCUGAUAUUUUAUAUGCUAGCUGCAUCAUACAUGUUACCACUGAUUCUGAGAUCUUCGUUUCGAAAUUUCAUUUGCAAGGUUUCCGUGAA